rnacentral:rRNA from 1 species
AUGAACGCUGGCGGCGUGCCUAAUACAUGCAAGUCGAGCGAACAGACGAGGAGCUUGCUCCUCUGACGUUAGCGGCGGACGGGUGAGUAACACGUGGAUAACCUACCUAUAAGACUGGGAUAACUUCGGGAAACCGGAGCUAAUACCGGAUAAUAUAUUGAACCGCAUGGUUCAAUAGUGAAAGACGGUUUUGCUGUCACUUAUAGAUGGAUCCGCGCCGCAUUAGCUAGUUGGUAAGGUAACGGCUUACCAAGGCAACGAUGCGUAGCCGACCUGAGAGGGUGGUCGGCCACACGGGAACUGAGACACGGUCCAGACUCCUACGGGAGGCAGCAGUAGGGAAUCUUCCGCAAUGGGCGAAAGCCUGACGGAGCAACGCCGCGCGAGUUAUGAAGGUCUUCGGAUCGUAAAACUCUGUUAUUAGGGAAGAACAAAUGUGUAAGUAACUAUGCACGUCUUGACGGUACCUAAUAAGAAAGCCACGGCUAACUACGUG